rnacentral:tRNA from 1 species
GUUCCUGUAGUUGAAGUCUACAACAAUGGUUUUUCGGGCCAUGGGUCUUGGAUAGGUACCAAGUAGGAAUU